rnacentral:lncRNA from 1 species
AGAAGCGAAGCCAAGGGGACAGAUGCUGGCAUGUUGCCACAUGAUAGAAGAAUGAUUUAUUAGAACAAAUUCCAUGACAAAUCAUAUAAAAUAACCAUUUUCUGAAAGACAUCCAUAAGACCACCUGAGGACAAACGCACAGAGGUGCCUCCAAGAAGCCAGACAAAUAAGUUAACCGAUCCCAAGGCGAAGGCUGGGGGGGGCGGUGGGGAGAAGACUUGUGAAUAAAAAACUCGUACAGCGAUCCUCCGGGGGCUGUGGAUGGAGGUGUGGUGGACGGACGGCCACGGCUUGUGCUGGGGGCCAGGCUGUGGGCAGCCGUGGGGCAUGCGGGGGGUGGGGGGCAGCAGGACUAGCACCUCCUCUGCGUGGACACAGCAGGCUCGCGGGCGGGGCCGGGAGGGGCCCCCACUCACACGCACAGGAUCCAUGCACUCAGCUCCACUCAGCCAAACGUAAACUUGUGUCGCCCAGCACGGCUGGGACUCGCACGGCCACCAGCGUCCCGUGCAGCCUCGGCGACCCCACCCCCAGCCGUUGGUCCCGUCCAGUCAACAUUUGCGCAGAUGCCAGGCGGGGUGCAGGACUUGCCCACACCAGGGUGGUGGAGCUCUGCUGGCCUGGCAUGUUCCCAGCUGAGAGAAUCCUGAGAAAACGAAACGGGUUCCGGGGGGCUGUCCUCCCCACCCUCUCGGGAUGGGGAGCACAGAGCCUGGGAGGCGCCCACUUAGUGCUCCCCGCGUCUGAGAGUGGGGGGCGGCCAGGGGAGGGCGUGUGGUCCAGGGAGCUUCUGGAAGCCGGGUUUCCAGCCACUUUGGUCAUUGACUUGCCUCCACCUGGCCCAGGACCGUCGCAAGCCAGCACCCAAGGCCCUGCACGCUCACUGGCCGUGCCCGCGUGUGGAGCUGUGCUGGGGUAGCUGCAGGCGCGGGCGUGCUCGGGCGUGUGCACAGCCACCGGCCCACACGCUCAUGAGUUUGGCAGUUAUGUUGGCACCAAAGGCUCGAAGCGGUGGGGUUCCUGCCCCACAUGUCCCCACGGGCCAUAUCCCUGUCCCGGGCCGCUGGACUCUGGGGUGGCUGGGAGCCGCCAGCGCCCUGACCAGCCUGCACUCUGCCCUCGAGUCCUGGGGCAUCACGAAGCCCCCAGGUCUGCGUUUGGCACUGAAAGACCGCACUGCCCAGCCCCUCUUCCUCUACCCGGUCCGGCCGCACAAAGGCUCAGGGUGGGCGAGUACACCGUCCCCCCAGCCCGUGCGGCGAGGCGGGACCCUCCGAGGCCCAGGAGUGCCCGCAAUGGCACAAACUACU